CUCUCCUGGUCAGGCUUCAUCUUUUAUCAUUUUCCCCUCCAGACUUUUAGGGGGGAACAGCUCUAAACAGCUCUAAGGAAAAGAUUAUAACUCCCAGUGGUUGGCCAGAGGAAAGAGCCAGCUCCUGAAACACAGGAAAUGAAUGAGAAAAACAAAGACAGCCUGGCAGAAAGCGGUUGUGUUCGAUGUAUCAAGAUGGACCUUGGGAAACGUGGAAGGGGUACCCUCAGGAUGCCUGAGAAAGGUCUUCAAGAUGACACAUCACAAGCCUCGUGCUGGAAAUUUGCAGUGAGAACCAGAUACAAACCUCCAUGGAUACAACAGCAGUCUCCGGAUUAUCUUCGGCACAAACUUCUGCCUUCUUGUGAGCAUGAACGAAAAAAGGUGCA